UUCUAGUGGUGGGAACAAUUAUGAUCUAGUCUCCUAGCAAGCUUAAUGUUUAUAACACAGUUUUGUGGUCUAUAAUCACUGUACUAUAUAUUAUGGCUCUG